UACGUAGGAUCCGAGCGUUGUCCGGAGUUACUGGGUGUAAAGGGUGCGUAGGCUGUUCUGUGCGUCAGAGGUGAAAUCCACGGGCUUAACUCGUGGGGUGCCUUUGAUACGGCAGGGCUUGAGUACGAGAGAGGUGCGUGGAAUUCCUGGUGUAGCAGUGAAAUGCGUAGAUAUCAGGAGGAACACCGGUGGCGAAGGCGGCGCACUGGCUCGUAACUGACGCUGAGGCACGAAAGCGUGGGGAUCAAACAGGAUUAGAUACCCUGGUAGUCCACGCCUUAAACGAUGCAUGCUUGGUGUUGGUCUCGCAAGAGAUCAGUGCCGUAGUUAACAUGAUAAGCAUGCCACCUGGGGAGUACGAUCGCAAGGUUGAA
rnacentral:rRNA from 1 species